GUGGCGGACGGGUGAGUAACACGUGUAGUAACCUGCCUCUGACAGUGGGACGCUUCUGGAAACGGAUGGUAAUACCGCAUGAAAUCAUAGUAUCGCAUGGUACAAUGAUCAAAGAUUUAUCGCUCAGAGAUGGACUCGCGUCUGAUUAGCUAGUUGGUAAGGUAACGGCUUACCAAGGCGACGAUCAGUAGCCGGACUGAGAGGUUGAUCGGCCACAUUGGGACUGAGACACGGCCCAGACUCCUACGGGAGGCAGCAGUGGGGAAUAUUGCACAAUGGAGGAAACUCUGAUGCAGCGACGCCGCGUGAGGGAAGAAGGUCUUCGGAUUGUAAACCUCUGUUGUCAGGGACGAUAAUGACGGUACCUGACGAGGAAGCCACGGCUAACUACGUGCCAGCAGCCGCGGUAAAACGUAGGUGGCAAGCGUUGUCCGGAAUUACUGGGUGUAAAGGGAGCGCAAGCGGGAGAGCAAGUUGGAAGUGAAAUCUGUGGGCUCAACUCACAAAUUGCUUUCAAAACUGUUUUUCUUGAGUGGUGUAGAGGUAGGCGGAAUUCCCGGUGUAGCGGUGGAAUGCGUAGAUAUCGGGAGGAACAUCAGUGG
rnacentral:rRNA from 1 species